AUUGCUUCUUGGUCUUUCCACUAAGAUCAAGGGUAGUAUCUGUUCUUAUAGUUUAAUAUCUGAUACGUCCUCCAUGUGAGAACAAUAUAUUUAGUGGAUUUUUGGAUCAGGGGGAUGGAAUAGGAGCUUGCUAGAUUCACUCCACUCAUCGACCUGGUAUUGCAGUACUUCCAGGAAUGGUGUACCCCCA
rnacentral:snRNA from 1 species